UGAGUUACACACAUGCAUCACAUACACAAGGGGGCCAUACUGAUCACAAGAUACAUACAUACAUCCUGCAAAACAGAGUUAGGCGUCCUAACAUUCCAAACUUCGGAGGCCCGAAACUCCAUCUUCCAAGCCGAAUUUGGGAAAUCUAAUCUCGCCGAAAACGGCAAAGCCGUUGAAAUUCAUGUGUAACUUUUUCUGUAGAUCAAUUUUCGUAUAAAAAUCGCCCCGAUCCGAGAUCGUACCGAAAAGUUACGGCUGAUUUACCGAAGCAUACGCAUACGGCAAAAUCCCGACCCCGGCAGUAGAUCCCAUCUACUAUUGCACAUCUAAUGCGCCUGGCGUAUGACCCUGGAUCUCGAUUUGACCAAUCAUAUUGAUCUUCCCUCACUGCAACUGGAUUUACGUGUAUCACUUAACUCCG
rnacentral:lncRNA from 1 species